GACAAAGUCAAUAGACUUUUGCAAAUUCUGUUGACUUUUGAGCGCGUUUUUUAUCUUCGAAGGGCCCAUCCAUAUACAUCGAUGUUAUAAAUCAUAUACAAUUUUAGUUUGUUACAAAAUAUAAUAUGUACCUUUCGAUUAUUAUUGGGCCAAUAUGUAUUGUGUAGAAAAGGUAUACGUACUUAUACAAUAUAUGAACGCCUAUAGUAAAGGCAUUUUGAAUGGGCCACUUUUGACAGACAUUGAAAUGUCCACUGUACUUUAGGAGUUAAAAAAAAAUCAAUGUAUAACUGCAAUGUCCAAGUGAACAUGUCAAAAACGAAUGACUAUGCCCCACUAAAUGAAUGAACUUAUUCCAUACCCAUGUGAUGAUAUUAAUGUUAAAACUAUUUUUUUUUUUACAAUUAUUUGUACUUUGAAGCCAAUUUCGCUUCAAAUUUUAGUUUAUAAUCCUGUAGUUUGUGUAGUUUUCUAAAAAAGCGCUCAUUAAAUUACAAAUUCGAAUUCUAGUAUUAAUUAAUCCGGAAAUAGUAGAAAAAAUCUAUAAAGAACAUUAUUUAGAAGAGAGGAAAAAUUAAACUAAUUCUGUACUACUUCAGAAUUUCUAUUUAACUAGUCCAAAUUGACCUGAACAUUAUCAAUAUACAUUUGCACACCCUUUUACAUCUUAAAAAGAUUUUAAAAGACAUUUGAUCGAUUACUACCAAUUACAAAAUUCAGUUUGCGUUCAAAGAAAAAUUGUACAUUUCUUUCAAAUAUGGCUUAUUUUGAACUUGUAUUUUGCAUAUAUCCUGCUUAUUUAUCUUAAACAUAAAACAUUUGAUAUUUACCUACCUAUUCGAGUCGAAAAUUGGAAUAUUUCUCACAAGUAAGGUCGAUUGACAUAAAAUAUCGAAUCUUAUCUUAGUCAUCAACACUUUUCGAUUUCAAAAAAUUAUAUUUUAGUUUUGUCAGCUUUAUCGAUACAUCGAUUUCAAAUAGAAAAUCGAGUCAAGUCAGCAAAAUUUUAUCAUUUGUGUGUCAAAGUUUUUAUUGUUAUAUAUUUUAAAACAAUUCAAUUUGUCAUAUAAAAAUCGACUAAUACGCGUUUAGUCAAUAUCAAAAGUUUUUAUUCAAUAAUUUUUUCUGCGUGUUCUUGAAAAUUUUAGCACUAUGUAAAUGUAGUUACUGAAACAAUUUGAUACAUUUUUAUCACAUACAAAAAGUAAGCAGGUUGUUACAUAACUUCCUGUUACAAAUUAUCGCAGAAUCAUCAAUGGGCAUUGCAAUUGAAAAAUCGUAUUGUCGGUUUCGAAAAAAAAAACUAAAGUUUAGUGCACCUCGUUCUUUCCACUGAAAUAGGAAAACAUGCAGUCCGACAAGGCUCUUUUGGCGCGUGGACAAAAUCAGAACUAAAGCCAUUAUCUAGAGAAUUGCACUUUUUGAUAGUUCGCUGUUUCGGCAUAAAGCGACAACUGCGCCCUCACUCAAAUGCCAAAAGAGCCUUGUCCGACUGUAAAGCAUUUUAGUUUAUUAAAUAAGAGCCAUUUCGCUUUGUCUUAUUCAAAGUUAUAAUUACAAGUAGAGUGCACAAUUUAAUUUUGUUUAAGUUUGCUUGUAUUCGUAUCCAGUUGAAUACUUGUACGACUCAGCCAUUCUGCCCUUUUCUAACUUAAAUGGCAAGAAAGAGAUGCACUCUACAUUUAUUUGGCUUUUGCCGAAUCGCGACUAUUAACAACUAAGUUGGCUUAACAAAGUUUAUGGGAUUUAAACACGAGUUAAAGGGACUUAUUCAAUAUAAAUACGCUAAUCUUUGUACAUUAUGCCACUAGGGCGUUAAUUUAAGCGAAACUUCACGAGCCAUGUGUAGGAAUACUCCACUUAUGUCUCUAUUACUGCCCUUCUUUACAUUAUUUACAAUGGUGCCUACUCAGUUGUACACAAAUCUCUUAACUAUACUGAUACAUCCAUAAAUAGUGCUAUCUUUUUCACAUUGUCUCCUGUUAAAAAGGACAUCACUACAUUUACUGUAGUGAUGUCCUUGGAACACUUUGGACAUCCUUGUAGUGAUGGCUUGGAAACGGUUUUGAAAAAGUGUCUGACAAGGUUCAUGAAACCGUUAUAACUCCGUUUAUUAAUUAACCUGUUUGUUUUAACGGUUUUCUCAAUAAUCGGUAAAAAUAACUGUAACCGAAACCUAAGCUGCUGUUAUUUCUGGUUCGAGGUUAAUGAUCGAAACCGAUUUGGAAAAUUAAACGGUUUCCGAAGCCUGCCUGUAGGUCUAUCGCCACAGGUUGACAACUUCAGUGUGAAAGAUUGCAACCGAUUGGCUAACCGUAGCUCACUAUUGGCAAAAAGGCACUCAGGAAGAAUACCACAAAUUCAGCCAAUCAAAAUCUGUUAAGCACAACGUUGUGUUAAGAGGAGUGUUAAUAGACUAAUAGGUAUAGUUUAGAGAUGUGCACAACCAAAUAAGAACAAAAUAUAAGCCAGUUACUAUUUCUUCUUAUAUUUCCAAACAAGGCUAUGUACAUAUGAGCCCAUUUACAAAGAUCAUUAUGAAACAAAAAACUUAGUUUUUUUUAAAGUUUGCAACUAUUCAACUUAUUUUAAAAAGUUGAAUACCAAAUAUUCUUUUUCGUUUAAAAAAACAGAAAUAUGAGAGCCAAUUAUUUCACUUAAUACAAUCCUUUAGUUUUCAAGGAUGUUGGCAAACUUCUACAACGUUAUUUUAGCACUUUAUAAAGGACACUAUAAUAAUAUGCAGUACUUUAUAAAGGACAUUGGCCAUAUAAAACGUAAUUAUAAUGUUGUCAUAAAGUCUUAUUAAAAGGGUUCCUUUCGUUAAACCCGCACCCUAGAAGGGCUGUAACAACACUUAACUAGGCAAGCGGUAUUUCAAUACACGAACAAGCUAUAUUAAGUAUAACAGUAGAAUCGCUUAACUACCUGAAACUAUCUAACCUAAUCUAUAAAAUAGACCUUGUGCGCUUGUUUGACAAGCGAUUCAAAGUUAAUUACAACUAUCUUAGUCUAAGACCCAUCUCCAGUGAAUCCUCAAUGACUAUUGUCGAUCCAUUUUAAUAGGCCACUUUUGACAGUAAUUGUCAAUUUUUUAAAUUGGUUUUACGGUUCUGGGUUCUAGCUCUUUUGAGCCUUAAUUGUUAAAAUUGUAUAUUAUGAUAUAGUAUCGUCAGACUUAACUUUGAAUUGCAGUUUGGUUAAUAAAAAAAAUAUCUGUUAAAAGUUUUGUGAAUUAUCAGAAGUGAUCUAUUAAAAUGGCUCCGCUGUAAUGAUGUACCCAAUUUUGAUGCCACUAAGUUUAGGCUGCCACACGUUUGGUAUGAUCGGAUAUUUUUUGUCCUUUUUAUGGGACAUUGGCACACCAUGAAUCUCGAUGAUAUAAUGUAUUUUAUGUACUUUGUAAUAUUAUAGUGACACUUUUUUUUUAUUGAAAAUAAUGACACUGUUAUUUUGUUCGCUAUUUUAAUAAAUUCGCUAAAACUUUCGAAAUAAAUGACACGUAUGGCAGCAUCGGUGACAGGUCCCUUGGCCUUGAAUUCCAAAAAAAUCGUUUUCUAAAAUUUAAGCGCUCCUCAAAAUUUAGCUGUCGGAUUUUUUCCAAAAAUCUUCAAAAUCUUCAAAAAACCGUCACUUAAAACUUGAGGAGCUCUUAAAUACUAAGGGUCAAAGCAUAUUGUGGUAGAACUGAAGCGACGCGAAUUAUCAAGCAACACUACAGUGUAGGUAUCUAAAAAUUAUGGCCCAACGGCUAAGUUGCCCCCAGAAUUUUGCAAGCCUGCACGCAUAGCCGCGGGUAUAUAUGUACGUUAAUGUGCACGCCUACUUGCGCAUAUUCUCCACCCUUUGUAACAACAUUAAGUAGCGAAGUUAAACUUCAAAUUACUUUGGAACAUUCUAUUGGAACAGUCGCGUUCGCAUCGCUUUGACUCCGCCAAUGUGCUUUGCGCCUAAGUGUCUUUUCAGAAUUCAAUUUGAACGAUGAGAAGUGGGUCCAGUCUAGCUAGAGAAAAGCUUGUGGUUACUCGCUUCUUAACAAGCGCGAAAUGUAUGGACAUGACAAAAAGUGUCCUUUGCCCACGACAAGGCAUUCCGAAUCAAAGUUUAUUUGAAUAAAAAAUGUUUCUGUUUUUAUUUCUAUUUCAAGUUUUUAUAUAUCACUACUUAACUGUCGCGAUUAAGAAUCGCGUUCAAGAUACGAGCGACUGUAUCGCUACAAAAAGUCGCCGCGGACGAUAUCCUUUCCACAACCCAUCCCCACAGCUACACCGGCCACACUUUGAUUGGAGACCAUAAACUAUAAACUGUACUUACAGCUCGUACUAACUACCCUUUACAAAUAAAUUACAUUACAAAUCACUAUUCUCUUUAAGUAAUAAAUACGAUAACAAAGGAGUUUCGCUUCUACACUGAGUCACAGAAUAAGAGCUAACAGAGGGUCCGAUCAGUAUAACUCGCGAUGACAUACACACUCACACACGACACACAAGUGCAUGCAACAGCGAGGUGAGCCUCAACGCAGAUCAACGGACGAAUGCAUUUUGGAUCAAAAAUGGUUUUGAGGUGUAGGUAGUCCAUUUGCAUCAAGCUGAGGUGUGUCUAAGCAACACCCACCUUAUGUAGCGGCUAUAUUAAGGUUAACGUCAAUGCCCAACAACGCCAUAAUUAUCGCGCUAAUCAACGCGCCACACUUAAACGGUUACGUGUACGUUGAUACAACGCAAUACGCAACGAUACGCAAACACCGCCGGCUGAACUGAAUACUACAUACACGUGUAUGUGUGAGUGAGCUUGUUAUUUUGCGUCGUAUUAAGUUGACCUUCUGUAACCUCUCUGUUCUGUGACUGCAUACUCUAUGCUACAUGGACUUAUACAGAGAAAUAUUGUAAGAGUGUUGCUGUCUCUACAUUACCUGAUAAUACCCGUAACUGUAUUACAUAUUAGAAAUAUUUGUGAAAUGAUUGUGAAUAAGUAUAUAGUAGUGACAUGUCUAAUCUUUGAACAUUAUCUGUGACUGUGAAUAUCUUCAGAAAAAUUCCACCCUAGUAAACUAUUUAUUGACAAUUUUACUAUUGAUCAUCAUUGAGCUCCGGGUACUCUAAGCGGGUACAUCCAACCCAUUAAGUUUAUCAUGAAUCUUUUAUUUUGCAUUAGAAUCUACUUUAUCAAUUGGACGUAGCUACGCAAAAGGCUCAACCCACACAGUAUUAGUUUUAGACAUUGAACUUUAAAGUUUGAACUAAAACUCCGUGGGUUGGAUCCUUUCUGCGUAACGUCCAAUUAGGUAGUUAAGUAGGUUAAUUUCUAGAUAUUUAAAUCUUCUAUUUCUAUUUCUACAUAUUUGCCUGAUUAAGUAGCGAGGAAAUAGAUUUGAGAUAUUAUAAAACUAAUUUCUCUGUAUAAUCCAUGCCCAUAGAAUCAACGUAGAAACUCGACGCUAAGGGCGUUUCCACACUUUACAUGAUCCAAUACCGGGUAGUAAAAUGUGGAAACGCUGUAAGGGCGGAUCGUCACUUAGCGCAAUCAACGUAAGCCAAUGGACAGACCAGCGGAAGGGACCUAGCAUGGAAUGUUACGAGUGACGACCACCCCUUAAGCCAGCGGGCACCGAUGUUAACAAUUUCCGAUUUUUUAAACUACCCUCCGUUUCCAACUGACCUAAACUGUUUUUGUAAUUCGUAACGAAAACAAAAUGAGUAGAAAAAACCACGGUCGUUAUUAAUUUAAGUAUUAGUAAUGCCCGUAACUGUAAAAAAUAAAAAUGAAAUCAUAAAAAAACUUUAAAAAAAACUUGACUUAAAAAUCUUGUUGAUAUCAUUUUGCGUAUUUUGUUGAUAUCAUUAUAUCUUAGAAUUAGAUAUUUAUCUGAGAAUUUGUAUACGUGAAAAUAUUUAACAUGCCUACAUGUCUUUUUUAGAUCUAAUUUUUUUUUUUACCACGUUGCAAUUACAUUUUUAGGCUUGCGCACACGAGCCACAAGCCACAGGAGGUAUAUUCUAUAAGCCAGGAACUAGAGAAUAUUUCCUACAUUUUGUACAGAGUUACUGAAUAUGAGUUUAGGCGUGUAGCCCGUCUGCGCUGAGCUAGAUAAAGGACUUUAUCAUUUCCCGUAUUUUACUUAUAAUAUGGUAGGUAACCAGAUUCAAUGGCAGGAAAUUUGCAUUGAAAUGUUAAUGGACAAUUAUUAUAGUACUAAAAACUUAAUCUCAAAACAUACAUAAUUGAUGUCAAUAGUAUAAUAACUGGGUAAUAUAAAUAAAUUAUAAUCAAAUGACUGCAACGUUGUUGUAUGAAAACAUAGAUUAUUUGUUACUUAAGAGCAAAAGUCAUGACUUCGAUUAAGUCAGGUGUUUUCCACGAGAAGCCAUGGCAUUGUUGCAUAAGCGACUAAUGGUGCAGGCCACGGCUUUUAAGGCCGUUAGCGGAAUAUGAUAAGCUACAUAGCUAGUCGCAUCGCUUAAGAGUGCUCUCCACUGAGUGCAGUAGGUAUGUGAGAGUAUGCCAGAGUGAAAUGUGAGAUGUUUUGGCAAACGCCUGGUAAUCAAUAUUUUUAAACAGACUGAACUGAAAAAUAUUUAAAAUGAUUACUAAGUAAUUAAAGAGUAUGUAUUUUACGAAUUAAAUUAUUUACGAAGAAAAAUACCGACAACGCUUGACGUUGUUAGUUUUGCAGUAUUUUUUCGUUUCUUAUUAUAGUUUAUUUGCGCAAGAAAUUGCCUCAUUCGGUGUAAAAUAGAGAUGUUUCAAGGAUCAUAACUUUGAUAACGAAUCAUGCUGUUUGUAGUCCGGUAUAGACGCUGAAGAGAUAAAUCAAUCUGGCUUAGUUUUAGAACUAGAAUAAUAUAUUAUGUAAGUUAGAACUAU